GGGCUGUUUUUGACAAUACAAUGCACAUAUAUCGGGUUGUAGCACCAUUAAGUCAUGCUAAAUUACUGAAAUCUUCAAAAUUCUAUCAUUUUAGUUCAAUUUUAGACGGUUUCCUUGUAAAACGAAAGUGGCCGCAUUCGUGUUCAUCCUUAAUAUUGAAAUGUAAGUUGUAUUUUAUGAUAAUACAUAACAUAUAUAAAGGUUGUGGAUGAACACGGAUGCGGCCACUUUCAUUUUUGACAAAAACCAUCUGAAAAAUGACGUUUUUU
rnacentral:lncRNA from 1 species